GGCUGUGUAGCUCAGUGGUUAGAGCAUGCGUUUCAUAAGCGCAGGGUCAGUGGUCCGAUUCCACUCACAGCCA
rnacentral:tRNA from 1 species